rnacentral:rRNA from 1 species
UGCUGGAGGUAUCAGAAGUGCGAAUGCUGACAUAAGUAACGAUAAAGCGGGUGAAAAGCCCGCUCGCCGGAAGACCAAGGGUUCCUGUCCAACGUUAAUCGGGGCAGGGUGAGUCGACCCCUAAGGCGAGGCCGAAAGGCGUAGUCGAUGGGAAACAGGUUAAUAUUCCUGUACUUGGUGUUACUGCGAAGGGGGGACGGAGAAGGCUAUGUUAGCCGGGCGACGGUUGUCCCGGUUUAAGCAUGUAGGCUGGUUAUCCAGGCAAAUCCGGAUAACCAAGGCUGAGGUGUGAUGACGAGGCACUACGGUGCUGAAGUAACAAAUGCCCUGCUUCCAGGAAAAGCCUCUAAGCAUCAGGUAACAUCAAAUCGUACCCCAAACCGACACAGGUGGUCAGGUAGAGAAUACCAAGGCGCUUGAGAGAACUCGGGUGAAGGAACUAGGCAAAAUGGUGCCGUAACUUCGGGAGAAGGCACGCUGGUGUGUAGGUGAAGUCCCUGCGGAUGGAGCUGAGACCAGUCGAAGAUACCAGCUGGCUGCAACUGUUUAUUAAAAACACAGCACUGUGCAAACACGAAAGUGGACGUAUACGGUGUGACGCCUGCCCGGUGCCGGAAGGUUAAUUGAUGGGGUUAUCCGUAAGGAGAAGCUCUUGAUCGAAGCCCCGGUAAACGGCGGCCGUAACUAUAACGGUCCUAAGGUAGCGAAAUUCCUUGUCGGGUAAGUUCCGACCUGCACGAAUGGCGUAAUGAUGGCCAGGCUGUCUCCACCCGAGACUCAGUGAAAUUGAACUCGCUGUGAAGAUGCAGUGUACCCGCGGCAAGACGGAAAGACCCCGUGAACCUUUACUAUAGCUUGACACUGAACAUUGAGCCUUGAUGUGUAGGAUAGGUGGGAGGCUUUGAAGCGUGGACGCCAGUCUGCGUGGAGCCAACCUUGAAAUACCACCCUUUAAUGUUUGAUGUUCUAACGUUGGCCCCUGACCGGGGUUGCGGACAGUGUCUGGUGGGUAGUUUGACUGGGGCGGUCUCCUCCCAAAGCGUAACGGAGGAGCACGAAGGUUAGCUAAUCCUGGUCGGACAUCAGGAGGUUAGUGCAAUGGCAUAAGCUAGCUUGACUGCGAGCGUGACGGCGCGAGCAGGUGCGAAAGCAGGUCAUAGUGAUCCGGUGGUUCUGAAUGGAAGGGCCAUCGCUCAACGGAUAAAAGGUACUCCGGGGAUAACAGGCUGAUACCGCCCAAGAGUUCAUAUCGACGGCGGUGUUUGGCACCUCGAUGUCGGCUCAUCACAUCCUGGGGCUGAAGUAGGUCCCAAGGGUAUGGCUGUUCGCCAUUUAAAGUGGUACGCGAGCUGGGUUUAGAACGUCGUGAGACAGUUCGGUCCCUAUCUGCCGUGGGCGCUGGAGAAUUGAGGGGGGCUGCUCCUAGUACGAGAGGACCGGAGUGGACGCAUCACUGGUGUUCGGGUUGUCAUGCCAAUGGCACUGCCCGGUAGCUAAAUGCGGAAGAGAUAAGUGCUGAAAGCAUCUAAGCACGAAACUUGCCCCGAGAUGAGUUCUCCCUGAGACUUUAAGUCUCCUGAAGGAACGUU